GAGUUUGAUCCUGGCUCAGGAUGAACGCUGGCGGCGUGCUUAACACAUGCAAGUCGAACGAAGCACCUGAGAAUGAUUCUUCGGAUGAAGUCUCUUGUGACUGAGUGGCGGACGGGUGAGUAACGCGUGGGUAACCUGCCUCACACAGGGGGAUAACAGUUGGAAACGACCGCUAAUACCGCAUAAGCCGCCGGUGCCGCAUGGCACUGACGGAAAAGAUUUUAUCGGUGUGAGAUGGACCCGCGUCUGAUUAGCCAGUUGGCAGGGUAACGGCCUACCAAAGCGACGAUCAGUAGCCGGCCUGAGAGGGUGAACGGCCACAUUGGGACUGAGACACGGCCCAGACUCCUGCGGGAGGCAGCAGUGGGGAAUAUUGCACAAUGGGGGAAACCCUGAUGCAGCGACGCCGCGUGGGUGACGAAGUAUUUCGGUAUGUAAAGCCCUAUCAGCAGGGAAGAAGAUGACAGUACCUGACUAAGAAGCCCCGGCUAACUACGUGCCAGCAGCCGCGGUAAUACGUAGGGGGCAAGCGUUAUCCGGAUUUACUGGGUGUAAAGGGAGCGUAGGUGGCAUGGCAAGCCAGAAAUGAAAACCCGGGGCUUAACCCCGCGGAUUGCUUUUGGAACUGUUAGG
rnacentral:rRNA from 1 species